UACCCCUACGGGGCGCAGCAGUGGGGAAUAUUGCACAAUGGGCGAAAGCCUGAUGCAGCAACGCCGCGUGAAGGAAGAAGGGUUUCGGCUCGUAAACUUCUAUCAACAGGGACGAAAGAAAUGACGGUACCCGAAUAAGAAGCCCCGGCUAACUACGUGCCAGCAGCCGCGGAAAUACGUAGGGGGCAAGCGUUAUCCGGAAUUACUGGGGGUAAAGGGUGAGUAGGUGGCAUGGUAAGC
rnacentral:rRNA from 1 species